CCUACGGGUGGCAGCAGUGGGGAAUAUUGCACAAUGGGGGAAACCCUGAUGCAGCGACGCCGCGUGAGUGAAGAAGUAUCUCGGUACGUAAAGCUCUAUCAGCAGGGAAGAAAAUGAUGGUACCUGACUAAGAAGCCCCGGCUAACCACGUGCCAGCAGCCGCGGUAAUACGUAGGGGGCAAGGGUUAUCCGGAUAUACUGGGUGUAAAGGGAGCGCAGACGGCAAGACAAGUCAGGAGUGAAAUCCCGGGGCUUAACCCAGAAACUGCAUUGGAAACUGUGCGGCUGGAGUGCAGGAGGGGUAGGCGGAAUUCCUAGUGUAGCGGUGAAAUGCGUAGAUAUUAGGAGGAACACCGGUGGCGAAGGCGGCUUACUGGACUGUAACUGACGUUGAGGCUCGAAAGCGUGGGGAGCAAACAGGAUUAGAUACCCUUGUAGUC
rnacentral:rRNA from 1 species